rnacentral:lncRNA from 1 species
ACGUCACAACCAAAGGAUUAGAGUACGUCAAAGUAACUCAAAGGAAAACGGCAAUAAAAAUUACGUUCGCUUAAUUUGAAAGAGUUUUGAGAUUACUUACAUUUUUUUUUACAAAUGUUCCGAAACUAUCUUAAAUUUUGAGAUACAUCCUGCCAUCCGCCAUAUUGUUUUAUAAUUAGACCUAAAUAUAUGACGUCACAGCCAGGGUAGACGUUUUAAAACUAAAAAAUAACAUCAGCGAAAAGCUUAUACAUAGCUUAUGCUUUAAUUUAAAGUCGACAAUAGUAUAAAAAUAGGAUUUUGCAUACAUAUCCCACGAUGGAUAUGCUUGAUUUUGUUUGAAAUGAACGGUAAUCUCUUUUAUACCAAGAACGAUAAAUAAAUAUAAUAAGGAUCUCUCUCCAAGUGGGAGAACUUGCUAUUCCCUUUAGAUUGAAGCUUACAUAAUUGGGAUUAUAACUGUCAAUUUGCAAAUUGGCCUUUCGAUUGUGCUGGCUUACUUCUACUUCUAGGUGUAACGUUUGAUAGGUCUUUUCAACCUACUAUUCCUUAGUCGCUCCCCUUUGCGCCAAUGUUAUUCGCACAAAAGUGGAGCAUUCAUUCAUGCUUUGUUCAUCUUCACUGCGAGAAUACUGAUGAUCAUGAUGAAUAAAAAUGGGUCAAUUUCAACACUUUGUUCUUCAAAUUAUUCGAGUUUCUUUCUCAAUUGUCUUCUAAAUAACACGGGAGCGACGGAAAGCAAUGCAGAAAUUAUAACGAUUGUGAUUGAUUGGAAUGUCAUCACAUCUCCUGUAGUCGUCAACUUGUGCACUUCAACACCAGCUGUGAUGUAACCAAAUGAGGGUGGCGCGACACCUGAAAAU